UGAUAAAUGCAUUUAAAGCCCAUUUAAAACAUUAUUAAAUGAAGUGUAUGCAUACAUACAAAAUGCUACUCUUGUAAUUGUGAUUUAAGUAUUUUAAUAAAUUGAUACAAUGUCACAGAGGGGUCCAUGUACAUCAAUGCAUUUAUAAUUUUAUACCAACAGCACACCAUACGAACACUAGAAAAAGUGUUCUAGACUGUAAAACCAAAUAGUAUUCCUUGCUAUAAAAAUACUAGUAAGUUUACUCUAUUUUAACCAAAAUGUUGAGUUUACUAAUUUUUUUUUCAUUGCUGAAAUAUUACAACAGAUAGUUCCCAUAACUAAUGAAAUUUAAGUAAAAUUACUCAAAAUGUCCAAGACAUGCUGUUACGCAUGCGCACUGGGCGACAAUUGCCCCUCCCCCACGUCGCAGAAGCACAACGGCUGAAGACUCAACGUGUGUUUGCAGAGGAUCUAUUUCGGUAAAAUCAAGAAUACCAGCUGAUGACUGCUGUGCAGUGGAAAUAUCGAUCAUCUUGAUAAAACCUCAGUAUAUCAUCAGGAGCAACAGGCCACAUAUUCAGCUAAAAAUCUUCUUUGCUGUUCUGCUGAAGAAAAAUACUCAUGAACAUCUGGGUGGCGUAAGGAUCUUUGCAGGAUUCAGUCGCAUAUCUCGGAUCUGAGUUCUGCGCAGCACUGGACACAGACUCUGCACUUUUGACAUUUUCUAGAAAAAAGGAUUUUAAAUUUCACAUCAAGUUAAUUAAAAGUCAUCUGAUGUUUCCACUGCAGUACUUCAGGGCCUUUCAGUCAUCCUGGAGGAUGACCCACAGGAAUUUUACAGGAUGUGUUUCGAUGUGGAUGCAGACUUCAGUCAAGCAGUUGUAGACCUGCUCACAGUUCUACCAGAGGACAUGCCCUCAUUGUGGAUGCAAUAAAGGCAAUCAUGGAGGGAAGAAUUGUCAUGAAUGGGUUUUAAAGGCCUGUAUUUUAUUUUUGCUGUUCUGUUUGCAUGCCAUUCUGAAAAUGCUCUAUUGUUUAACAGUGUUCCAGUGGGUCACGAUAAUGUUAUGACAACAAAGUGCUGUUUAGUUAAGAAGUCUGUAAAGAGUAUUAUAAGAACACAGAUGUUUUAAAAGCUAAUU